AUCAUGGCUCAGAUUGAACGCUGGCGGCAGGCUUAACACAUGCAAGUCGAGCGGUAACAGGGGAGCUUGCUCCUGCUGACGAGCGGCGGACGGGUGAGUAACGCGUAGGAAUCUGCCUAGUAGAGGGGGACAACAUGUGGAAACGCAUGCUAAUACCGCAUACGCCCUGAGGGGGAAAGGAGGGGACUCUUCGGAGCCUUCCGCUAUUAGAUGAGCCUGCGUGAGAUUAGCUAGUUGGUAGGGUAAAGGCCUACCAAGGCGACGAUCUCUAACUGGUCUGAGAGGAUGACCAGUCACACUGGGACUGAGACACGGCCCAGACUCCUACGGGAGGCAGCAGUGGGGAAUAUUGGACAAUGGGCGCAAGCCUGAUCCAGCCAUGCCGCGUGUGUGAAGAAGGCCUUAGGGUUGUAAAGCACUUUCAGGGGUGAGGAAGAGUAGUGGAUUAAUACUUCAUUGCUUUGACGUUAGCCCCAGAAGAAGCACCGGCUAACUCUGUGCC
rnacentral:rRNA from 1 species